UACAGAGGGUGCAAACGUUGCUCGGAAUCAUUGGGCGUAAAGCGCACGUAGGCGGCCGAUUCAGUCGGUUGUGAAAGCCCCGGGCUCAACCCGGGAAGUGCACUCGAAACUGACCGGCUUGAAUAUGGAAGAGGGUCGCGGAAUUCCCGGUGUAGAGGUGAAAUUCGUAGAUAUCGGGAGGAACACCAGUGGCGAAGGCGGCGAUCUGGGAAGAUACUGACGCUGAGGUGCGAAAGCGUGGGGAGCAAACAGG
rnacentral:rRNA from 1 species